rnacentral:rRNA from 1 species
GACGAACGCUGGCGGCGUGCCUAAUACAUGCAAGUUGAGCGAUGAAGAUUGGUGCUUGCACCAAUUUGAAGAGCAGCGCACGGGUGAGUAACGCGUGGGGAAUCUGCCUUUGAGCGGGGGACAACAUUUGGAAACGAAUGCUAAUACCGCAUAACAACUUUAAACAUAAGUUUUAAGUUUGAAAGAUGCAAUUGCAUCACUCAAAGAUGAUCCCGCGUUGUAUUAGCUAGUUGGUGAGGUAAAGGCUCACCAAGGCGAUGAUACAUAGCCGACCUGAGAGGGUGAUCGGCCACAUUGGGACUGAGACACGGCCCAAACUCCUACGGGAGGCAGCAGUAGGGAAUCUUCGGCAAUGGACGAAAGUCUGACCGAGCAACGCCGCGUGAGUGAAGAAGGUUUUCGGAUCGUAAAACUCUGUUGGUAGAGAAGAACGUUGGUGAGAGUGGAAAGCUCAUCAAGUGACGGUAACUACCCAGAAAGGGACGGCUAACUACGUG